CGCUGUCGGUUCGCCGCCCGUCGGUGUUAACUGGCAUGUCCUGUGGAACGUCCUGCCGGUGGCGGUCCGGGCUCUCGGCUUGCGUAAAGGCUUGCGCCCGAAGCAGGUCGAACAGUUCCGGCCGCCGGUCCAAUCCCGCCACGGUGCUCUUUACCGAGUGUCGAGGUGGGCCGGCACGUUUACUUUGAACAAAUUAGAGUGCUUAAAGCAGGCUGGUGUCCGCCUGAAUACUGUGUGCAUGGAAUAAUGGAAUAGGACCUCGGUUCUAUUUUGUUGGUUUUCGGAACCCGAGGUAAUGAUUAAUAGGGACAGGCGGGGGCAUUCGUAUUGCGACGUUAGAGGUGAAAUUCUUGGAUCGUCGCAAGACGAACCUAAGCGAAAGCAUUUGCCAAGUAUGUUCUCGUUAAUCAAGAACGAAAGUUAGAGGUUCGAAGGCGAUCAGAUACCGCCCUAGUUCUAACCAUAAACGAUGCCAGCCAGCGAUCCGCCGAAGUUCCUCCGAUGACUCGGCGGGCAGCUUCCGGGAAACCAAAGCUUUUGGGUUCCGGGGGAAGUAUGGUUGCAAAGCUGAAACUUAAAGGAAUUGACGGAAGGGCACCACCAGGAGUGGAGCCUGCGGCUUAAUUUGACUCAACACGGGAAACCUCACCAGGCCCGGACACCGGAAGGAUUGACAGAUUGAGAGCUCUUUCUUGAUUCGGUGGGUGGUGGUGCAUGGCCGUUCUUAGUUGGUGGAGCGAUUUGUCUGGUUAAUUCCGAUAACGAACGAGACUCUAGCCUGCUAACUAGGCGAUUUCCGGUACCCACAACAGUGUUACCGGCGAUUCAAUUUCUUCUUAGAGGGACAGGCGGCUCCUAGCCGCACGAGACUGAGCAAUAACAGGUCUGUGAUGCCCUUAGAUGUCCUGGGCCGCACGCGCGCUACACUGAAGGAAUCAGCGUGUCAUCCCUGGCCGACAGGCCCGGGUAACCCGUUGAACCUCCUUCGUGCUAGGGAUUGGGGCUUGCAAUUGUUCCCCAUGAACGAGGAAUUCCCAGUAAGCGCGAGUCAUAAGCUCGCGUUGAUUACGUCCCUGCCCUUUGUACACACCGCCCGUCGCUACUACCGAUUGAAUGAUUUAGUGAGGUCUUCGGACUGGUGCGCGGCGAUCGGUUCCACCGGCCGCCGAUGUUGCCGGAAAGAUGACCAAACUUGAUCAUUUAGAGGAAGUAAAAGU
rnacentral:rRNA from 1 species